rnacentral:rRNA from 1 species
CCUACGGGAGGCAGCAGUGAGGAAUAUUGGUCAAUGUCCGGAAGGCUGAACCAGCCAAGCCGCGUGAGGGAGGAAGGCGCAGAGCGUCGCAGACCUCUUUUGCCGGGGGACAAAAGGUCGGACUCGGCCGGUCCUGAGGUUACCCGGAGAAAAAGCAUCGGCUAAAUCCGUGCCAGCAGCCGCGGUAAUACGGAGGAUGCGAGCGUUAUCCGGUUUCAUUGGUUUUAAUGGGUGCGCAGGGGGGCCUUUAAGCCGGCGGUGAAAUCGCGGGGCGAAACCGAGCCGAGCCGUAGGAACUGGGGGCCUUGAGUGCGGCGGAGGCAUGCGGAAGGCGUGGUGGAGCGGUGAAAUGCAUAGAUAUCGCGCAGAACCCCGAUUGCGAAGGCAGCGUGCCGUGCCGCCACUGACGCUGAGGCACGAAAGCGGGGGUAUCGAACAGGAUGAGAUACCCUAGUAGUC